rnacentral:rRNA from 1 species
GAUGAACGCUGGCGGCGUGCCUAAUACAUGCAAGUCGAGCGAACAGACGAGGAGCUUGCUCCUCUUACGUUAGCGGCGGACGGGUGAGUAACACGUGGAUAACCUACCUAUAAGACUGGGAUAACUUCGGGAAACCGGAGCUAAUACCGGAUAAUAUAUUGAACCGCAUGGUUCAAUAGUGAAAGACGGGUUUGCUGUCACUUAUAGAUGGAUCCGCGCCGCAUUAGCUAGUUGGUAAGGUAACGGCUUACCAAGGCAACGAUGCGUAGACGACCUGAGAGGGUGAUCGGCCACACUGGAACUGAGACACGGUCCAGAGUCCUACGGGAGGCAGCAGUAGGGAAUCUUCCGCAAUGGGCGAAAGCCUGACGGAGCAACGCCGCGUGAGUGAUGAAGGUCUUCGGAUCGUAAAACUCUGUUAUUAGGGAAGAACAAAUGUGUAAGUAACAAUGCACGUCUUGACGGUACCUAAUCAGAAAGCCACGGCUAACUACGUG